rnacentral:rRNA from 1 species
CCUACGGGGGGCAGCAGUGGGGAAUAUUGGACAAUGGGGGGAACCCUGAUCCAGCCAUGCCGCGUGUGUGAAGAAGGCCCUCGGGUUGUAAAGCACUUUCAGUGAGGAAGAACGCCUGGUGGUUAAUACCCAUCAGGAAAGACAUCACUCACAGAAGAAGCACCGGCUAACUCCGUGCCAGCAGCCGCGGUAAUACGGAGGGUGCGAGCGUUAAUCGGAAUUACUGGGCGUAAAGCGCGCGUAGGUGGCUUGAUAAGCCGGUUGUGAAAGCCCCGGGCUCAACCUGGGAACGGCAUCCGGAACUGUCAAGCUAGAGUGUAGGAGAGGAAGGUAGAAUUCCCGGUGUAGCGGUGAAAUGCGUAGAGAUCGGGAGGAAUACCAGUGGCGAAGGCGGCCUUCUGGACUGACACUGACACUGAGGUGCGAAAGCGUGGGUAGCAAACAGGAUUAGAUACCCUAGUAGUC